UACAACAGACAGAGACAAAGAAAAACAGUGACCAUCUCUGAAAGGAGAGAAUCCAUAAAAACCUAGAGUACUCAUUUCCCAAACACCAGAGUUGGUAGGUCCAAGGAAUCAGUUCCACAAACAUUUUCUCCCGUUAAUCUAAGUUUAGAAAGAAAGAAAAGGGACUCUCAUGACUUUCCGUUCCACCAGAGACCCAGGUCACCAACAAUAAAGAGUCGCACCUGGACCUGCAGGAGAGACCCCUGCAGCACCCAGAGAUCCUGAAUUUUGAGCUGGAGGAGGGCAAGUACAGUCUGUGGCUUCCUCAGAGUCCAGUGGUCCUUUCAACGGACUCUUCUCCACUUCAGUCCUACUGUUGCCCCGUGAGGCUUGGCUGCAACUCCUAUUUGGCUCCCAGACUGGAAGAUCUCUCAGUCCUCACCUAUAGGGUCAGCUCUUCCUUCCCAAGGAUAUGCAGGAAAUUCUGGACACCUUUCAUGCCAAUGAA